AUUCUUUCGAUCGCUUUCUACUGCUUUUUUUUCGUUAAGUUGAAAGCUCCAAAUGGAUCGGAUUAUAAAUAAAAGUUGGUUCUUAUUGGUUCAACCAGAAGGCCAGUAAGGAGAUCGACUCCAUCGGCGAUGAAUGCCACUUCACUCUCUCCUCAUUUCCCCCACUUUUUCUUUUCCUUUAUUAAUUGUUGUAUGAUUUCGUUUGCAUUUUCCUUUGUUGUUUUAAUUCAUUGUUUUGUUUUUUUUAAUGUUACAAUUAGGGCUUUUAUGAUGUCGACGUUGAGUUCACCAACUUUUGAUAUUAAUUUGCUUCCCUUAAUUAACAUCUAGAACUUUAAUUUUAUAAUGAUUUUUUGUACUGAUUUUUGUUCUUGUUUGUAUUUUGGAGAAGAGAUUUUGUUCAAUAAUCUAGGAUUGACAAAUUGAACUCCAUAGUUUUGACACUUUCUAACUGGAUUAUCGUGUUGAUGAGUCUACUUAGUCGGAUUUUCAUCUUGGCUGGCUGAGCGAGCGCACCAGCUUUCUCAAUUCUGUUCAGACAUUUGCUAUGUGUCAUUAAGCGUCUAGGUUAGCUCAAGAACCCCAUUUAUUGGAAGGACAAUUUUGUCUUACUAGUUAUUUGGAAAGCAGAAAAUUCAUUAUGAUGGUGGAUUCCACUUAUUGCAUUGGUAAAAUGUAUCAGUCCUACGAAGAGACAAAUUUAUGAAGAAUUGUGAAAGAUGUUCCACGUGAUGUGCAUAUCAAUUUCUUGAAAGUUGAAAGAAGCUUGCAUCAUCGGAGAAUUCAUGCUACAGAGGAACUGGCUGUUGAAGAGGGAGGUGGGGUUGAAAUGCACGUUCUUGAGGAUGUCGGUCAUUGGUGCAUGCUGAUAACCCAUAUGGUCUCUUUCGGAUCUUGUCAUCCUCUUUCAAAGGGAUUAGAACUUGAGG